rnacentral:rRNA from 1 species
GAACGAACGCUGGCGGCAUGCCUACCACAUGCAAGUCGAACGAGACCUUCGGGUCUAGUGGCGCACGGGUGCGUAACGCGUGGGAACCUGCCCUUAGGUUCGGAAUAACUCCCCGAAAGGGGUGCUAAUACCGGAUAAUGUCUUCGGACCAAAGAUUUAUCGCCUUUGGAUGGGCCCGCGUUGGAUUAGCUAGUUGGUAGGGUAAAAGCCUACCAAGGCGACGAUCCAUAGCUGGUCUGAGAGGAUGAUCAGCCACACUGGGACUGAGACACGGCCCAGACUCCUACGGGAGGCAGCAGUGGGGAAUAUUGGACAAUGGGCGAAAGCCUGAUCCAGCAAUGCCGCGUGAGUGAUGAAGGCCUUAGGGUUGUAAAGCUCUUCUACCCGGGAUGAUAAUGACAGUACCGGGAGAAUAAGCUCCGGCUAACUCCGUG